rnacentral:rRNA from 1 species
GAUGAACGCUAGCGGCAGGCCUAAUACAUGCAAGCCGAACGGCAAGAUUUUCAGCAAUGGAAAUCCUAGAGUGGCGUAAGGGUGCGUAACACGUAUGCAAUCUGCCCUCAACAGGAGGAUAGCUCCCCGAAAGGGGAAUUAAGACUCCAUAAGAUCUUAGAGUGGCAUCACUUAGAGAUUAAACUACCAGGGGUUGAGGAUGAGCAUGCGCAUGAUUAGUUAGUUGGCGGGGUAACGGCCCACCAAGACGAUGAUCAUUA